rnacentral:rRNA from 1 species
GACGAACGCUGGCGGCGUGCUUAACACAUGCAAGUCGAACGGAAAGGCCCUGCUUUUGUGGGGUGCUCGAGUGGCGAACGGGUGAGUAACACGUGAGUAACCUGCCCUUGACUUUGGGAUAACUUCAGGAAACUGGGGCUAAUACCGGAUAGGAGCUCCUGCUGCAUGGUGGGGGUUGGAAAGUUUCGGCGGUUGGGGAUGGACUCGCGGCUUAUCAGCUUGUUGGUGGGGUAGUUGCUUACCAAGGCUUUGACGGGUAGCCGGCCUGAGAGGGUGACCGGACACAUUGGGACUGAGAUACGGCCCAGACUCCUACGGGAGGCAGCAGAGGGGAAUAUUGCACAAUGAGCGGAAGACUGAUGCAGCAACGCCGCGUGCGGGAUGACGGACUUCGGGUUGUAAACCGCUUUCGACUGUGACGAAGCGUGAGUGACGGUAAUGGGUAAAGAAGCACCGGCUAACUACGUG